CAGAGGACACACCCGUACCCAUUCCGAACACGGAAGUUAAGCUCUGUAACGGAGAUGAUACUUGGUUGGAGACGACCUGGGAAAGUAUCUAAAUGCCGGCA
rnacentral:rRNA from 1 species